UUGUCCUUUUUCGAUUGGGUAAAGUGUUGUCAUCAGCUUCAUCUUGUGUUACUGGUCAAGACUGGAGUUAAACAACAACACUACAUCU